UGUGGAUCUGUUAAAGCCACAGAUCAGAGGGCUGGAGCACCUCUCCGAUGAAGAUAGGCUGAGAGGGCUGGGGCUGUUCAGCCUACAGAAGAGAAGGCUCCAGGGAGACCUCACUGCAGCCUUUCAAUACUUAAAGAAGUUUUGCAGCUAUGGUAGCCUGAAGUCCAUCAUUUCUUUCAGACCUGGGAGCACAUCCUGACUGCACAUAACUGAGAUACGUGCUCCACCAAAGAUUUUGAAUGAUCCCUCUGGCUGUGUGUCUUAUGAUCAAGCCAAACAUGACUUACCACACCACAAACGUGAAACCAGCAUUAAACAACAGCUUUGAAGUGAUUAAAAUAGAUGUGGUAGAAUCCGGGAAUCCAGGAUUGUUUCUGGAUAGCCAUGAUGUGCAGAUCUGA
rnacentral:lncRNA from 1 species